rnacentral:rRNA from 1 species
GACGAACGCUGGCGGCGUGCUUAACACAUGCAAGUCGAACGGAAAGGCCCUGCUUUUGUGGGGUGCUCGAGUGGCGAACGGGUGAGUAACACGUGAGUAACCUGCCCUUGACUUUGGGAUAACUUCAGGAAACUGGGGCUAAUACCGGAUAGGAGCUCCUGCUGCAUGGUGGGGGUUGGAAAGUUUCGGCGGUUGGGGAUGGACUCGCGGCUUAUCAGCUUGUUGGUGGGGUAGUGGCUUACCAAGGCUUUGACGGGUAGCCGGCCUGAGAGGGGGACCGGCCACAUUGGGACUGAGAUACGGCCCAGACUCCUACGGGAGGCGGCGGUGGGGAAUAUGGCACAAUGGGCGGAAGCCUGAUGCGGCAACGCCGCGUGCGGGAUGACGGCCUUCGGGUUGUAACCCGCUUUCGCCUGUGACGAAGCGUGAGUGACGGUAAUGGGUAAAGAAGCACCGGCUAACUACGUG